GCAGCCGCCAGGGGGCGCGGCGGCGGCAGCAGCUCAGUUUUGGCUCCAGCUCGUGUCGGUUUGUGCUCUGGGUUCAGGUCCAGCUUACGGACGGCUUCAGCUCCUGGUUGUUGUGGCUGCAGCUCAUUUGCAGCUUCAGGCCCAGCCCCUGGAUGGCUCCAGCUCGUGUCCAUCUCCAGCCCCUCCUCAGCUCCAACUCCGGUCCCAGCCAGCUCCAGCCUGUGCCUGAACUGGGCCUGGCUCGGGGCCGGGUCCCGUGGUUUGAGCCCAGCCGGUAACUCAGAACCACGCAGCUGCUCGAUCACCCCCCGCUUCUUGCCCCCCUGCUCCCGGAGGGAUGGGGAGGAGAAUGGAAAGAAUGUAAAUCCCAUGGGUUGAGAUAAGAGCAGUCCAGUAACUAAGGUACAAUACAAAACCACUACUGCUGCCACCAAUAAUGAUAAGGGAAAUAACAAGGGGAGAGAAUAUAAAACUAAAAGGGGAAAAGAAAACAAUAAACACAAGUGAUGCCCAACACAAUUGCUCAGCACUCACUGACCGAUCCCCAGCCCAACCUGAGCAGCAAUCUGGGCCCU